UAAAUCCUACGGGGGGCAGCAGUGAGGAAUAUUGGUCAAUGGGCUUACGCCUGAACCAGCCAAGUCGCGUGAGGGAAGACUGCCCUAUGGGUUGUAAACCUCUUUUGUCAGGGAGCAACGCCGGCUACGUGUAGCCGGACUGAGAGAACCUGAAGAAAAAGCAUCGGCUAACUCCGUGCCAGCAGCCGCGGUAAUACGGAGGAUGCGAGCGUUAUCCGGAUUUAUUGGGUUUAAAGGGUGCGUAGGCGGAAUGCAAAGUCAGCGGUAAAAUCGCGGGGCUAAACCUAG
rnacentral:rRNA from 1 species